rnacentral:tRNA from 2 species
UACGGGUGUAGCCGUCAGGCUCAUAACCUGAAGGCCGCAGGUUCAAAUCCUGCCCCCGCAACCA